rnacentral:rRNA from 1 species
GGUGGGGAUUAGUGGCGAACGGGUGAGUAACACGUGGGCAAUCUGCCCUGCACUCUGGGACAAGCCCUGGAAACGGGGUCUAAUACCGGAUACUGACCCUUGCAGGCAUCUGCGAGGUUCGAAAGCUCCGGCGGUGCAGGAUGAGCCCGCGGCCUAUCAGCUUGUUGGUGAGGUAAUGGCUCACCAAGGCGACGACGGGUAGCCGGCCUGAGAGGGCGACCGGCCACACUGGGACUGAGACACGGCCCAGACUCCUACGGGAGGCAGCAGUGGGGAAUAUUGCACAAUGGGCGAAAGCCUGAUGCAGCGACGCCGCGUGAGGGAUGACGGCCUUCGGGUUGUAAACCUCUUUCAGCAGGGAAGAAGCGAAAGUGACGGUACCUGCAGAAGAAGCGCCGGCUAACUACGUGCCAGCAGCCGCGGUAAUACGUAGGGCGCAAGCGUUGUCCGGAAUUAUUGGGCGUAAAGAGCUCGUAGGCGGCUUGUCGCGUCGGUUGUGAAAGCCCGGGGCUUAACCCCGGGUCUGCAGUCGAUACGGGCAGGCUAGAGUUCGGUAGGGGAGAUCGGAAUUCCUGGUGUAGCGGUGAAAUGCGCAGAUAUCAGGAGGAACACCGGUGGCGAAGGCGGAUCUCUGGGCCGAUACUGACGCUGAGGAGCGAAAGCGUGGGGAGCGAACAGGAUUAGAUACCCU